rnacentral:lncRNA from 1 species
GCCACAUUCUCCCGGCCGUCUGGGGUGGGGGCAAUUCAGCCUUUCUCUUUGACAGGUGACAGUGGAAGGUCCCUCUUGACAGGUGAGCCUCAGCUUACUUGUGUGUAAAAGGCGAGGCAUUGCACUCAUCUUGAGGUGUUGAGGUGAGGAUCGGAGACUUCUGUCAACGGGAGGGGCCCUGGCACUGAGCACCACUGGCUGCUACUGGAG